GACGGAGGGUGCAAGCGUUGUUCGGAUUGACUGGGCGUAAAGGGCGUGUAGGCGGUUGCCCAAGUCCGAUGUGAAAGCCCGAGGCCUACCCUCGGAAGUGCAUCGGAAACUAGGCAGCUGGAGCGCGAUAGAGGAGGGUAGAAUUCCUGGUGUAGCGGUGAAAUGCGUAGAUAUCAGGAGGAAUACCGGCGGCGAAGGCGGCCCUCUGGAUCGUUGCUGACGCUGAGACGCGAAAGCGUGGGGAGCAAACAGG
rnacentral:rRNA from 1 species